CUUAUUUUUGUCCUUAAUUCUCACACUAGUCAUUGAGGUUGGAAAUAUUACCCUCACUUUACACCUGUGGAAAGUGAGGCUCGUGGUGUGUAAGUGGCGGUAACACUGUUCUGAAGCACUGAGGCAGCUCUGGUUUUGCUCCAUCUUCUUAACCCCACAUGUCCCUUUUUCUCUCAAAUAGCAUGAAAUAAGCAAAGGCUGAGCACUGUGCCAGGCAAAGCUUAGCACAUGGAGAAGUCAUGAGGCCCUUGUCCUUAUGGGGUUUAUAGUCCUAUGAAUAACAGAGAACAGUGAGCAGUUAAAUUGCAGGGUGCUGGGUCCUGAGUGUAAGAAGAAACAUGCAGGGACUAUAUGAGACAGAGGAUGGGCACCCAACUCACUGGUGGAUCAUAAGGCCUCCCGGAGGAAGUGGCAUCCAGGCAGAGUCCUGAAGGAUGCUCAUUACCAGGAUGGAAAGGGGAAAGGGCAUUCCUAACAGAGGGAACAAUGUAUUCAACAAUAUUCAAAAGGUCAGGCAGAAAGGUGUCAGGACUUGCAUGGGGCUUUGGUGGGGCUCAUAGUGUGCUAGGGUGGGUAGAAGGGAGUAAGCAACACAGCUACCAAAUAACUGGGCCAGAUUGUGAAGGGCCCUGCAGACCAAGAUAGUUAAAGACUGGGGGCUCUAAUUUGUAGAGAAGCCCUGCUUAAAAUGGGAACAAGGUUAUGUGAUUUGAUUUGCACUUUAAAAAAUUAUCUCUAGACUAUGUAGACAAUGAAUCAGAGGGGAGCAAGGAUGGGUGCUUGAGAGGGUUAAUGUACAUGCACAGUGGGGGAGAUGGUGGACUGCAUUAAGGUAAUAGAACACCAUGGGAUGAAGAAUGGAUGGAUUUCAGAGGCCUGUGCAAGCUCCUGCCAACGGGACUUAAUCAUUGAGUGGGAUGUGGUGGGUGGGUGGGAGUGUCUGGGUGGAGCAGUGCAAGGGGCAAGGGUGGGAAGCCUGUGCUCAGAAAGGGAGUAUGUGCUAUUAACAUAGUGCUGGAAAGGCAUUUUCUUACCCUGUUUUUUGUGCAGCAUCCCCAGCUGUGCCUUAUAACUGUACCUCUGCUAUUUCUUUCUCCCUGAGCCACUGAUGCCUAAACCUUCAUACCCCAUUAAGCAAUUACGAUGCUAAUCGUGUGCUAAUAUUUGGUUGUGCAUCUAGUUCCUCCAGUUGGGCUGUGGGGUUCUCAAGGCAGGGAUGUGGCCUGGGGGAAGUGCUAUUCCAGUAAUCACUAACCAUGGUCUUGAGACCACUGGAAUUAGAGGCACUGGGGGCUUAUAAUUGAACAAACAAAUUCUGGGACCCAACUCCAGACUUCCAGAAUCCAUAACCUCUUGGAGGCAGAACCGGGGUAUUUGCCUUUCAAUCAACUUAAAUGUAUCCAAUGUCCACUGAAGUGUAAGAACCCUUGGACUAUAAAGUUGAGAUAUAGUCAAGAGGACAAUCUCUAGAGUCAGAAGUCUGAGACCUAAUUCAGGUCUUCAUUGAAACUCGGUGUUCUUUUCUCUACAAUAGAAAAAAUAGAAUAGAAUAGUGUUCUUUUCUCUACCUGUUUACUCCUCAGGGAUGAGGGAGAUGGUGUCUAUAACACACAAAUAUGGAGUGUGACAAAGGCACUCACUCCAUGAACAUUGGUUGAAUAAACUUGCAAAAUUUGCAUGCAACAUGCAAGCCUCUCAAAAUCUUGCUAUUUCAUAGUCACUGAAUGCCCCUUUGACAUUAACUGCAGCUACACUCUAAUAGCAAAAAGCAAUGGAGUGUUUGUUCUCAGGAACCUAGGACUCCACUGGUUCUGAUAAAAAUGAAACUGUGAUAAAUUGAUGACCACAAGGACAUUUCCCUGUUCCCAUAAGAAGACUCAUCUAAAUCAAGUGGCACCUUAUUCUUUGCCUGAAUAAGAAGAGUAGCUUCCACAUUAUUUCUUAUUCAAUGUGUGUCUUCCCAUUUGGCCUCUUUGAAAAACCAUCACUCCAUUUUUCCAGAAUGAAAAUGAUUGCUUCUCAGAAUCUUAAGUGCUAUUUCUCUGUGGCAGUGGGCUUGGGAGUCAGCAGGAGGCCUGGGUUGGAAGGCCAGCUCCAGCCCUUCCCAGUUGAGCAACCUGAACUCUUCAGAGCCUCAGUGAUAACCUCCGUAAAGUGGGUAUGAUAGUGGUUCCUACGUUGGAGACUAUUGUGAGGAUUAAUUCUUACAAACCCCUUUGACCAAUAAUCAGUCCUGGAUCAACAUGUGGGUUGGCUGCUCUCAAAUGUUUCCAGCAGCAAAUAUUUGGCUGGCACCUGAUCCUCUGCUUUUUAGUCUUACACACUUUCUAAGUCCACUCAGUGAGGUCUAUCUCUCUCUCCUGGGUCCAGUGUUUCCUUAUUUGAUUGAUAACCUACAGCAGAAAGAGAAGAGAAAAUGUAUCCCUUGUCUGGUUGACAGAAAGUAGCUUUUCCUCUGACUUCUUCUGGAAGGAUUUGUAGUUUCUGGAAACUUCAAGAAAUAUUUGUAGCUCUGUGCCUAAAACUUACCUAAAUCCUGCCUGACAUACCCCCAUGGGUCAGCUAACUCAAGACCUCAAUAGGAAGCUUUUAAACAUUGGAAAAUGGAUCUACUGACUGGGUAUAGUGGACAAUGGCAGAAGUAGAAGGAACAUUCCUUCAUUCCAAGUCUCUGCCUGUGCUUUAGGGCAAGGUGGUACAGGCGUUCUGCAAAAUGGUGGUGGCUAGUGGCAAAAGGCACUUUAGUGGUCCAGCUGGACUAGUGCAAGAAUGUGCUGAGUGUCUCCAAUGAGACGUCUGAAGUUCUCAGCCGGAUCACAAUAUGCCGUAAUGACUGAUAAGCCAACAAUAUGCUGGGCCUCUUCUCCUGGACUUGUCUCUUUAGAAGCAUCUGGGGAGCUUCAAAAAAUCCUAAUGUCAGACCACCUUCCAGACCAAUUACUUUAAACUUUCAGGAGUAGGACUCAGGCACCAACAUUAUGGCAAUGCUUCUCAAAUGUUAAAAGUGCAUUUGAAUUACCUGGAAACUUAUUAAAACAUGGGUCUGGAGUGAAGCCUGAGAUUUUGCAUUGCUAACAAACUUAGUAGUGUAGGUCAUGCCUACACUUCUGGAUGAAGAACCAGAAUUGGGGUAGCAGAGUCUUAGGCUGUUCCUCCUCCCAUCCCUCUUGCCCAUCAAAAUCAGUGCCUGACCCUCACUGAUCUCUUUUCCUCAAGGUUGAAACACCAGAAAUGCAGGCUUUCUUCUAGCUAGUUUAUUUACUUCUGGAAGCUGGUCUGAGGAAAGGGAGCUAAUUAUUAUUGAUUCACCUACAUUAUCUUGUUUAAGGAGAACAUGCUUAGAAAAGAUCUGAUCUUGUGGUCAGAUCUUUCUGACCAAGGCAAUGUGGUCAUCUUCACUCUUCCUGCCAUGGGACUUUCAGUUUUGAAUAGCCUCACAGGGUUUCUCUCUCCCUCCAACUCUCAGUUCUAGCAAUUUUCUUUAGGGACAUGCACACACAGGAUGAGGCAGAUGGUGCAGCUGUUUGUUCAGAGCCGAUAGGCCUGGAUUUGUAUUCUGGCUCUACCACCUAGUGGCUGUGUGACCUUGGACAAUUUAUUUAGCCACUCUGUGCCUCAGCUCUCCCACCUAUAAGUUGGCAAUUAUAAAAAAAUAUCUACA
rnacentral:lncRNA from 1 species